rnacentral:rRNA from 1 species
GACGAACGCUGGCGGCGUGCUUAACACAUGCAAGUCGAACGGAAAGGCCCUGCUUUUGUGGGGUGCUCGAGUGGCGAACGGGUGAGUAACACGUGAGUAACCUGCCCUUGACUUUGGGAUAACUUCAGGAAACUGGGGCUAAUACCGGAUAGGAGCUCCUGCAGCAUGGUGGGGGGUGGAAAGUUUCGGCGGGUGGGGAUGGACUCACGGGUUAUCAGCUUGUUGGUGGGGUAAUGGCUUACCAAGGCGUCGACGGGUAGCCGGGCUGUGAGGGGGACCGGCCACAUGGGGACUGAGCCGCGGUCCAGAGUCCUAAGGGAGGCAGCAGUGGGGAAUAGUGGACAAUGGGGGGAAGCAUGAUGCAGCGAUGCCGCGUGUAUGACGAAGGCCUUCGGGUUGUAAAGUACUUUCAGGGGGGAGGAACGGAUUAAAGUUAAUACCUUUGCUGAUUGACGUUACUCGAAGAAGAAGCACCGGCUAACUCCGUG